rnacentral:rRNA from 1 species
AUUCCAGCUCCAAUAGCGUAUAUUAAAGUUGUUGCGGUUAAAAAGCUCGUAGUUGGAUUUCUGCCGAGGACGACCGGUCCGCCCUCUGGGUGAGCAUCUGGCUCGGCCUGGGCAUCCUCUUGGAGAACGUAGCUGCACUUGACUGUGUGGGGCGGUAUCCAGGACUUUUACUUUGAGGAAAUUAGAGUGUUUCAAGCAGGCAUCCGCCUUGAAUACAUUAGCAUGGAAUAAUAAGAUAGGACCUCGGUUCUAUUUUGUUGGUUUCUAGUACUGAAGUAAUGAUUGAUAGGGAUAGUUGGGGGCAUUCGUAUUUAACUGUCAGAGGUGAAAUUCUUGGAUUCGCUCAAGACUAACUUAUGCGAAAGCAUUCACCAAGGAUGUCUUCAUCA